GUGCCUGGUUCAGCAGCACAUAUACUAAAACCGAAACGAUACAGAGAUUAGCAUGGCCCCCAUGCAAGGAUGACAUGCAAAUCCAAGUACAAUAUUUCACUAGU